rnacentral:sRNA from 1 species
GCACACGGAAGGAGGUGGUCCAGGACAUGAAGUACUCCAGGACGCGUGAGGUGGCUGCCCGCUAGCCGCCCGAGCACUCGGACGGACUCGUCUGGUCCGCCCGUGGCCCCGCCGGUGAUCCGGCCGGGCGACGAGCGAAUACCGGCAGUCACCGCAGCCCGUGGGAGCCGCGAUCUCGUCCUUCGCGGCAGGGCCCCGUCAGGGGUUCCGGCCCACGGGCUGUUCCCU